rnacentral:rRNA from 1 species
UACGAAGGGGGCUAGCGUUGCUCGGAAUCACUGGGCGUAAAGGGUGCGUAGGCGGGUCUUUAAGUCAGGGGUGAAAUCCUGGAGCUCAACUCCAGAACUGCCUUUGAUACUGAAGAUCUUGAGUUCGGGAGAGGUGAGUGGAACUGCGAGUGUAGAGGUGAAAUUCGUAGAUAUCGCAAGAACACCAGUGGCGAAGGCGGCUCACUGGCCCGAUACUGACGCUGAGGCACGAAAGCGUGGGGAGCAAACAGGG